CGGACUCACUCUCUCUCCGACAUUCCUGUCUGUUUGGAGUUAUGCGGAGACGUCACCAGGAGGCACUGUGGCACUAACAGUGUACAUACUGUUGGGUUUAUGCUGUUGAUCAUUAUUCACUGCUAAGCUUAUUUGAGCAGUGGACAGAGGAGAUGCUGAGCUGCCAAACUGCUCCCGGGCUCUCUUCAUUGUCACCAUCUGGUUCUGCUUGACACCUGAGAGGUUUUCCAAGGUGUUCUCUAAGCCUCAUCAGGUGCAAUCAUUGAAGCUCCUCUCAGCACGGCAAUGAGUGAUGAGUGAGAAUCAAGCCCAAGGGGGAUCACGUCACCGUAGAGAUAGCCACCAUUGCCUAGCAACCUCAGCCUUCAGGCCGACUGGAGGAAGUGCAAAGAGAAAGCUGAUCCAAUUCAAAAAUAUGCUCCUUUUCAAGCAGACAAAUGCCUAAAUUGGAAGAAAAAAAACCACAUUCUGCCUUUGUUUUGUGUCUUUGAAGGACAAAGCUGUGAAAAUCCUGUAUUUUUGUUAGUGUCAACAAAAUCCCAUUGAGAGACCAGAAGAAGCAACAUUGUCUGUGGAAAACAGACAUGAGUGAGCAAUACAACCAGAAUAAUAAGUUCUUUCAUUGUGUAGAAAUGCAUUUCUAUUGUAUAGACAAAAAAACUAUUAGGAGUGUAAUUCAUUGUUGCUAUUUUUUUAUGCGGGAAUUAUCACAAUAGUUUUAUCAUUGCUGUGAUUUACAGUCUAACGUGCAGAAUUUCUGUAAAACCUUCGAUAAAAAAGUCAUUACUGAGCUGCUCUGAAGGCUGCACAUUGUGAAUGUAUAAAUGUGUAUCCAAAGGCCUCUGCCUAAUGUGAGAUGUCCUCUAUAAAUCCAUUCUAUUACGAGGUGUCACUUCAUCCCCCCCUGGCCUACAGCGUCCAGAGUCUGAGCUCAUUUCAGUCGUGUUAGUAGACAAAUUAUUGUCUUCCUGCUAGACACCUCCCUGACAAGGCGCGUCAAUACUGCAGGUGCAGUUGUGCCUGAAAUUGCUUUGUUUAAACUUGUCAAGUUGGAAUGGAGAUUUUCAAAAAGGAUUUGUCCCAAUUUGCACGGCUAAAGCUCGCUGCAAACCUACAGAGAGUUACACUCCACACUGCUGUUGUUUUUUAAAGAGACCAUUUUUAGAAUUUGAAUUUUGAUGCUUGCUUUUUAAAAAGGGGGCUGCCAGUACCGAAAACUUUGUUCCCUCUCAUUAUAAUACA